GUGCUUGCUUCAGCAGCACAUAUACUAAAAUUGGAACAAUACCGAGAAGAUUAGCAUGGCCUUGUGCAAGAAUAAUAUUCUAUCCUUUUAAGGAAAAAACUUCAUG
ensembl:snRNA U6 U6 spliceosomal RNA